GACGAACGCUGGCGGCGUGCCUAAUACAUGCAAGUCGAGCGCAGGAAACUGACGGAACUCUUCGGAGGGAAGGCAGUGGAAUGAGCGGCGGACGGGUGAGUAACACGUAAGGAACCUGCCUCAAGGAUUGGGAUAACUCCGAGAAAUCGGAGCCAAUACCGGAUAGUUCAACGGACCGCAUGGUCCGCUGAUGAAAGGCGCUUCGGCGUCACCUUGAGAUGGCCUUGCGGUGCAUUAGCUAGUUGGUGGGGUAACGGCCCACCAAGGCGACGAUGCAUAGCCGACCUGAGAGGGUGAUCGGCCACACGGGGACUGAGACACGGCCCAGACUCCUACGGGAGGCAGCAGUAGGGAAUCUUCCACAAUGGACGAAAGUCUGAUGGAGCAACGCCGCGUGAGUGAUGAAGGUUUUCGGAUCGUAAAACUCUGUUGUAAGGGAAGAACACGUACGAGAGGAAAUGCUCGUACCUUGACGGUACCUUACGAGAAAGCCACGGCUAACUACGUGCCAGCAGCCGCCGUAA
rnacentral:rRNA from 1 species